AUUGAGCACGUAGGUGGGUUUGUAAGUCAGAUGUGAGAGCCUUCUGUUCAACGGAAGAAUUGCAUCUGAAACUGCGAGUCUUGAGUGUAGGAGGGGAGAAUGGAACUUCUGGUGGAGCGGUGAAAUGCGUAGAUAUCAGAAGGAACGCCGGCGGCGAAAGCGAUUCUCUGGCCUAUUACUGACACUCAGUGUGCGAAAGCUAGGGGAGCAAACGGGAUUAGAUACCCCGGUAGUCCUAGCCGUAAACGAUGGGCACUAAGUAGAGGGG
rnacentral:rRNA from 1 species